rnacentral:rRNA from 1 species
GAGGUCGGCAACGACCACCCAGGGCCGGAAAGUUGGUCAAACCCGGUCAUUUAGAGGAAGUAAAAGUCGUAACAAGGUCUCCGUAGGUGAACCUGCGGAGGGAUCAUU